UAGUAAUUAGUUUAAGUAAAACAAAUGAUUUCGACUCAUUAAAUUGUGACCCAUCUCACAAUUACUAA
rnacentral:tRNA from 1 species